rnacentral:rRNA from 1 species
AUUGAACGCUGGCGGCAGGCCUAACACAUGCAAGUCGCACGAGUGGCGGACGGGUGAGUAAUGUCUGGGACACUGCCUGAUGGAGGGGGCUAACUACUGGAAACGGUAGCUAAUACCGCAUACCAUCAGAUGCGCCCAGAUGGGAUUAGCUCGUUGGUGGGGUAACGGCUCACAAAGGCGACGAUCCCUAGCUGGUCUGAGAGGAUGACCAGCCAAACUGGAAAGGAGCCACGGUCCAGACUCCUACGGGAGGCAGCAGUGGGGAAUAUUGCACAAUGGGCGCAAGCCUGAUGCAGCCAUGCCGCGUGUAUGAAGAAGGCCUUCGGGUUGUAAAGUACUUUCAGCGGGGAGGCGUGACCCGCAGAAGAAGCACCGGCUAACUCCGUGCCAGCAGCCGCGGUAAUUC